rnacentral:snRNA from 1 species
AUUACACCACAUAACAAUACAC